UACAGAGGUCUCAAGCGUUGUUCGGAUUCAUUGGGCGUAAAGCGCGUGUAGGCGGGACGGCAAGUCGGACGUGAAAGGCUCGGGCUCAACCCGAGAAGGCCGUUCGAAACUGCCGUUCUUGAGGGUCGAAGAGGAGAGUGGAAUUCCCGGUGUAGCGGUGAAAUGCGUAGAGAUCGGGAGGAACACCGGUGGCGAAGGCGGAUCUCUGGGCCAUUACUGACGCUGAGGAGCGAAAGCGUGGGGAGCGAACAGG
rnacentral:rRNA from 1 species